UACAGAGGGGGCAAGCGUUAUUCGGAAUUAUUGGGCGUAAAGGGCGCGUAGGCGGCUUUGCAAGUGACGGGUGAAAGCCCUCGGCUUAACCGAGGAACUGCCUGUCAGACUGUAAGGCUUGAGACCGGGAGAGGUGAGUGGAAUUCCCAGUGUAGCGGUGAAAUGCGUAGAUAUUGGGAAGAACACCGGUGGCGAAGGCGGCGCUCUGGACCGAGACUGACGCUGAGGCGCGAAAGCGUGGGGAGCAAACAGG
rnacentral:rRNA from 1 species